AAAACCUUAAGUUAAAUAAACUGUCUGAUUUGCAAUCAGGUAAUGUGAUUGUCUCAGGUUUUA
rnacentral:tRNA from 1 species